AGGAAAUGUAAUACCAGGAAGAAAUUAAUCCCUCCUUGCAAUGCAUCACCUAAUUUAACAAUCAUCUAUAAAUUAAACAACAAUAUUUGGCUAAACCCUUGGAAAUAUCAGAAACUAGGAAAAAAAGCAAUGCCAAUUAUUCAUGACAUUUCUGAAAAUUGAGGGAGAAAAUUGGAUUGUGCCGGAGUAAUGAAUCUGGUAAAUAAAGCGGAGGAAAUAGAGUGCGACAAGUGAAGACGACCGGUACUACAUUACGAGAUCAGCUUUAAUCAAAGAAGACAGUCCAGAAAAACCUCCAUCAAAGCUUCUCUUCAAUCCAGGCAAAUACUUGUAUUAGAAUUCCCUGCUGGAGCAUGACAUUUUGCAGAUCUGAAGGGCAGCCAGGCAGAGUUUGGACAAGCAGCUUUCUCUAUGGCUUUGAUGGGCAGGAGCAUGGGCUGGAUGUUCUCCAAAGUCCUGUUUCCUGUGACUCUAUGAGAAUUGUCUUGAGAGUUGCCCUACCCUUCAGAAGGGUGGCAGCUGCUCUUACAGUAAGUCACUCUUACAAACUUGUUUGCUUUCCAACAAAACCAAGGAGGCUAUAGGGUAUGCACAGCACUGAAUUCUGCACAAACCAGAGGUCUUCUCUCUUGGCCCCUUACUGGAUUGCUCCAAUAUGGCAGAAAGUGGUGAGGAAGACUAUAAUCAUCUGCUGCGGGAUUGACUCAGCAAUCAUUUAAAAAUAUACAUAAUUUUGGGUAGCCAGAAGAGAACUUGUUCACUUGCUCAUUUUGUGCAUCCAAACUCCUACACUGGAUGAAUAUGAAUGAGUCCUUGCAAUUAGAGACAGUUUGCCUGAAGCACUGUGGAUUCCCUUCCUCCAGCCUGUGAUUCAACUGCUCUGCCACUACUACCUGAGGUGUUCAAAGCAAGCACUGUCUCACAGGGCCAGCAACAGUGUAAAUAAGCCUUUCGCAGAUGAGCUUUGCUUGCUUCUGAUGCAGCAGCUUGAGGCAGUACUGCUCUGCCAGUCUGAAGAGUGGAAAAAACCCCAUAGUCCCAUUCUUCUACUGGUUCUAGGUUUGAGGGGUGUUAUAAGUGUAAUUUUCAGAUUUUAGACCUGAAAAGCAAAGAAAUAAAUUGUCUGCCAACUCUGGUGAGGGCUUAGAUGGCAUUUCCCCCCACAAUAGGAAAAUAGGACUGAUAGAUUAAAUUACCUGCAGUGUGAGCACAUGGAUUCACAAGGGACAGUCCUGUUUAACCAAUUUUGUUAUCAUACACUCACACAUCUAUUGGCUGAAGGGAAGACAGUGAAUGCAAAUUUUCUGGAUUUUAGUAAUGCCUUUGAUAUUGUGCCUCACAUCAUCCUUUUGGACAAGUUAUCCAAACAUGGGAUGAGCUGGUUCACAAUGCACUGGGUGAAGAACUGGCUGAAGGACAGGGCUCAUGUGGUUGUGGUGAAUCAGGUCACAUCUGGCUGGUUACUGGUCACCAGCAGUGCUCCUCAGGGCUCAAUCCUCUUCUCUUCUCUUCUCUUCUCUUCUCUUCUCUU